GUUGCAAAGAGUGGGACAUGACUGAGCGACUUCACUUUCACCUUCACCAGGGGUUGGCAAACAUUGUCUUUAGAGGACUUAAGAGUAUACAUUUUAGGUUUCUGUAGGCCACAUAACAUCUCUGCGGCAUUAUUUCUUUUGACUUUUUUUUUUAAAAGAACUCAGCAAAAUAAAAUUCCAAUUUACUGUUGGAUGACAUUGUUUCAUACACACAUCAAACAGGCCAAAAAAAUAGAAAGCAACUUCAGAGACAAAAAAAAAAAAAAGAACCUGUUUAUCUUUGGCCUUUCUAGCCAUCUCAGACAAACCAACUACUUGUACAGCUAAGUACAUACACAAAAUGCUCAGAAUAAGACUGUUUUGUUGUUGCUGUUUUUGGUUUUUUCACAAGGUUUUUUUCUCCUCUGAGAUCAUAAUGAACAUGAUCGCACCACAAGUGAAGUCAGAGGUAGGACAGAGACUGCUCCUAAGGCUGGUUUGGUCAUCUGGGGUCAUUAAAAGUGACUCACUCCUAACAACAUGUACAAAAAUAUAAAAUGUAAAUAAAAAUACAAAUUUUCCUUUAAAAAGUACUUUAAGAAGAAAAGAGGGCCUUGGAAAUUUUGGUUCUUUUUUUCCUUCCCUGCUACAAAUUCAUGUUACUGUUUUGGCUGGGUGGUAGAGAAUGUGUGUCAUCUUCAGGAGGCGCUGCCGUGGUGGGUGGGCAGGCCUGCAGGAGCUACUGGAAGAUGACCAUGUUUAGACUGAGACGGGAAGUGGAGGGUGAACAGGUUUCUGCCCUGUGGCAUGUGGGAUCUUAGCCCCAGCUAAGAUCUUAGCCCCCCAGCUGAACCCAUACCCCCUGCAUUGGAAUGAGGAGUCUUAACCACUGGACCAGGAGGGAAGUCCCAUGGCUCUGCUGGUAACAUAAAGAUGAAAACAGACGGGUCUUACCUUCAAGGAGUUCAGUCUAAUGGUGGAGAGAACAGAGUUAUAUGCUUUCUAAUUCAUGAAGAAAACGCAGAUCUUCAUAUAGGAAUCCCCUUAAUCUCGCUACCCGAUAGGAAUAAUGAUGAUGCUUGUGGGAUCUUAGUUCCCAGACAGACAGAGAUUAGCUCUCCACCCCUUGCACUGGAGGCUCAGAGACCCAACCACUGGACUGCCAGGUACAUUGCCAGUGUAUGUCUUUUUAAGAUUUGUCCAAUUUGUUGGUAUAAACUGACUGAUAAACUUCCCUAACAAUAUUUUUAAUUUCUGUAUGAUAGUAAUAUCCCCCUUUUCAGUACCUAAUAUUGAUAAUCUGUUUAUUCUUUUUUAAAAGGGCAAUCUAUCUCAAGGUAUAACAAUAUUAUAGAUCUUUUCAAAGAACUUUUUGUUUCAUUGAUUUUCCUCUACUAUUUUUCUGUUUUUUUCACUGAUCUCCACUCAAAACUUCUGUUCACUUUGAGUUUAUUAUUCUUAAGCUGGAAAACCUUAAGAUGGUUGAAUUGAGACCAUGCUGCUGCUGCUAAGUCACUUCAGUCAUGUCUGACUCCGUGCAACCCCACAGACGUCAGCCCACCA